rfam:Strongylocentrotus purpuratus Contig120146_fixed, whole genome shotgun sequence.
GUCUUUGUAGUGUAGUGGUUAUCACGUCUGCUUUACACGCAGAAGGUCCCCGGUUCGAGCCCGGGCGGAGGCU